CCCAAGCAAGCCUAUCCAUUUACCUUUGCUUAACAAAUUUAUCAUAUCAUGCAUACACACACACCUUUUCCCGGGUGUGAAUAUAGCCAAAACACAAUGGCAUUAUCAAUAAUAAUAUACAUGCACUAUACCAGUCGUGUAUUUAGCAAUUUACAUUGCAUACACAUAUUCACAUUGUUAGCUUGUAUUCACAAUACAAAAGGACCCAUGACUUCCAGCGGAGACAUUUACAAUAAAAUGGAUUACUAUCGAAUGCCAGACACAUACCUAGGAGAUGCACUACGAGGACUCCUCGAUCUAGGGUCCAACAGUCACCUGAUCGG
rnacentral:lncRNA from 1 species